UUAAGCUCGGCCUCUUACACAGCACACGCAAUGGGACAGAGGACAAGCCACACAACAAACAAGAUGACAGGAGGGUGCAGGGAGUUAAUGACCCAGAUCCGAAGUCAGUCUAUGGGUGCACAGUCGAGAUAAGACCUCCGUCUGGUCCGGGUCAGCUCUUGGCACUUGCUGCUUCUUACGUUCAAGCAGUGAAGGACCUUGGUUCCAUUUGGAGAUGAAUGGAGCAGAGCCUUCAGCGGCAGUUGCGUUUUUUAAGUGGUCAGACACAGAAGGGUCAGGUCUCAAGAGCCUGACGGUUGGCUGGCCAAAUCCUCUCCUUUUUAAAGGGAUUUAAUUGGGCUCGAACCCCUGUCCAAGUUGUGCUCUGGUUUUUCCCCUAACCAAUUGUAGGGCGUCAGUGUUAGGAGCUGGUUGCACAGUUAGGCAGUCAGGGCCCGGGUUCCCAACAAGGAAGCAUGGAGUUGGGACAGUUGAGAUCAAACAGCAUGGAUAUCCUGCACCACAGCUUGGACAGGACCACCCUGGCCUUCUGCUUUGCAGCCUGUGCAGAAAUGACUUUGGCAAAACAUCCAAAAAUGAGAAUUUUUUUAACAUUUUUUUUUUUUAUGAGAGACACAGAGAGAGAGAGAGAGAGAGGCAGAGACACAGGCAGAGGGAGAAGCAGACUCCAUGCAGGGAGCCUGAUGUGGGACUUGAUCCUGGGUCUCCAGGAUCAUGCCCUGGGUUGAAGGUAGAUGCUAAACUGCUGAGCCACCCAGAGAUCCCUAAAACAAGAAAACUAACCACAAAGCAUCUGUCACUGUCACAGAAAAGGAGCAGUUAGGACCUCAGCGCCCAGAUGUCAGCGAAAAAGGACCAUCAGCACAUGGACAUUAACCCAAUAGGUAGACAGAGAUGUGACCAAAGCCCUGAUUGGCCUGACUCAGCACAUCCUGGUGGCUUAAGAGUUCCACAAAAGACCCCACUGAAGUCCCUACACUUGGAAGCUCAUAGGGCAACCCUCCUGGACUCCCCUCCGUCUCUAGGAGCUCAAUGAACUUUGCUUUGGUGCCCACCACUCUUCAUCUGGGCUCCCUCUUCAUUCUUCGAAGAAGCAUGGCCAAGAACCUGGUACUUGAGGCGACACCAAAUCCUGGAAUGUCAGCUGGUUCUGGACUCCUAGCUGCAGUACCUUAACCGCUUGCGUCAUUGGCUGACACAGGCCCCUGCUUGACAUGAGGGGCUCCGUUCUGACCUCUGCCAAUGCCAAAGAUCACUAUCUCCAAGGAGACGCCCCAAAUAAGGAAAUAAGAUCCACAGAAAUUCAUCCAUAGAGUAUGUGCAUUUUUUCCAGUCAUGACAUGAGAGGAAUAUCCUGCGUGUUUCAGAAUAUACAGCUGGAGGCGAUGUUCCGUGGUACCUGAAUUUAAGAUCUUGAAAGCACGAGGUAGCUUGCCUGAGAACCAGUGUCAGGAUGCGGUGCUGCUCUCAGACAGGGGAAGGACAACAAUAAACCUCGACUGCGUGUUUUGCAGAGGACUGACUGUUACAGAGGCAGCGCAGACCCUGAGUGUGAGAACACCCCGCCAGGUCCUUCCCCUGGACCUACACUCAGCAUCUCAUCAGCAAGCCACCCUAACUUCGAACUGUGUCUGUGAACAUCUGUGCUUUACCUUCAUUCCUUUUACACAUCUAUUAACAAGAUGUAUC